rnacentral:rRNA from 1 species
GUUUCCGCCCUUCAGUGCCGCAGCUAACGCAUUAAGCAUUCCGCCUGGGGAGUACGACCGCAAGGUUGAAACUCAAAGGAAUUGACGGGGGCCCGCACAAGCGGUGGAGCAUGUGGUUUAAUUCGAAGCAACGCGAAGAACCUUACCAGGUCUUGACAUCUUUUGAUCACCUGAGAGAUCAGGUUUCCCCUUCGGGGGCAAAAUGACAGGUGGUGCAUGGUUGUCGUCAGCUCGUGUCGUGAGAUGUUGGGUUAAGUCCCGCAACGAGCGCAACCCUUAUGACUAGUUGCCAGCAUUUAGUUGGGCACUCUAGUAAGACUGCCGGUGACAAACCGGAGGAAGGUGGGGAUGACGUCAAAUCAUCAUGCCCCUUAUGACCUGGGCUACACACGUGCUACAAUGGAAUGGGUACAACGAGUUUGCGAGACCGCGAGGUCAAGCUAAUCUCUUAAAAGCCAUUCUCAGUUCGGACUGUAGGCUGCAACUCGCCUACACGAAAGUCGGGAAUCGCUAGUAAUCGCCGGAUCAGCACGCCGCGGGUGGAAUACGUUUCCCGGGG